rnacentral:rRNA from 1 species
GAUGAACGCUGGCGGCGUGCCUAAUACAUGCAAGUCGAGCGAACGGACGAGAAGCUUGCUUCUCUGAUGUUAGCGGCGGACGGGUGAGUAACACGUGGAUAACCUACCUAUAAGACUGGGAUAACUUCGGGAAACCGGAGCUAAUACCGGAUGAUAUUUUGAACCGCAUGGUUCAAAAGUGAAAGACGGUCUUGCUGUCACUUAUAGAUGGAUCCGCGCUGCAUUAGCUAGUUGGUAAGGUAACGGCUUACCAAGGCAACGAUGCAUAGCCGACCUGAGAGGGCGAUCGGCCACACUGGAACUGAGACACGGUCCAGACUCCUACGGGAGGCAGCAGUAGGGAAUCUUCCGCAAUGGGCGAAAGCCUGACGGAGCAACGCCGCGUGAGUGAUGAAGGUCUUCGGAUCGUAAAACUCUGUUAUUAGGGAAGAACAUAUGUGUAAGUAACUGUGCACAUCUUGACGGUACCUAAUCAGAAAGCCACGGCUAACUACG